GGACGAACGCUGGCGGCGUGCCUAAUACAUGCAAGUCGAACGGUCUUUUCUAUGGAAGCUUGCUUCCACUGAGAAGAUAGUGGCGAACGGGUGAGUAACACGUGGGGUAACCUGCCCAUAAGAGGGGGAUAACAUCCGGAAACGGGUGCUAAUACCGCAUAGUUUUCUUGAUCGCAUGAUCGGGAAAGGAAAGACGGCCUUUGUGCUGUCGCUUAUGGAUGGACCCGCGGCGUAUUAGUUAGUUGGUGAGGUAACGGCUCACCAAGACGAUGAUACGUAGCCGACCUGAGAGGGUGAUCGGCCACAUUGGGACUGAGACACGGCCCAAACUCCUACGGGAGGCAGCAGUAGGGAAUCUUCCGCAAUGGACGAAAGUCUGACGGAGCAACGCCGCGUGAGUGAAGAAAGGUUUUCGGAUCGUAAAACUCUGUUGUCAGAGAAGAACAAGUUGGAGAGUAACUGCUCCAGCCUUGACGGUAUCUGACCAGAAAGCCACGGCUAACUACGUGCCAGCCGCAGC
rnacentral:rRNA from 1 species